AGGAGAACAAAGAAGGAAAAGGAAAAAAGAAACAAAAGAAUUUCCCGGAGAACUAAUGAUUAGUUCAAGUCAUUAACGAUACUUGAUAUGUUCCCUACACUAGGAAUUUCCCAUUUUUUAAGACUUAUUUUGGGCAAUGACAACAUGUUUUUGGUGGUUUGUCGUGAAGUACGGGCUUUAUCAUGCAGGUGGGUAGUUGGUUCUGC
rnacentral:lncRNA from 1 species